CCCUUAGAUGUUCUGGGCCGCACGCGUGCUACACUGAGUAAUUCAAUGGGUAAGGGAACGCUAGAGCAUUACCUAAUCUUGAAAUUUGCUCGUGAUGGGGAUCGACGGUUGCAAUUUUCCGUCGUGAACGAGGAAUACCUUGUAGGCGCAUGUCAUCAUCAUGCGCCGAAUACGUCCCUGCCCUUUGUACACACCGCCCGUCGCGCCUACCGAUUGAGUGAUCCGGUGAGGCUCUGGGACCUGGACGGAAAGAGCGUUUCGCUUGUUCUGUUUGGGAAACUUGGUCGAACCUUAUCAUUUAGAGGAAGGAGAAGUCGUAACA
rnacentral:rRNA from 1 species